AGUCUUCUGUUUGCCUUCAGAACAAGAUGUAGAACUCUCAGCUAUUUCUGUGCCACGCCUGCCUGCAUGCUGCCAUGCUUCCUGCUGUGAUGAUAAUGGACUGAACCUCAGAACCUGAUAAAGGCCCCUGUGUUGAAGGCUCCAUAACCAUACGUGAGACUCUGGAGGAGGUGGUGGGACCUUGAAGAGGAGAGACCGGGGAAGGAGAAGUAUUACCAAGUAAACAGGAAGAGCAUAGCCAGCAGCUUCCACAUCUAUAGAAAUGACAGAGACCGCUGGCUGCCCUGACAGUCACCCAACGCUUCUCUGCAACACUGGCUCCAGCAGUUCACCGGCAGCCUACUGGCCCAGGAUAUCUGCAGACUUAUCUGUGAAGCUGGACUAUGGAGGACCAGGCUACUUUAUCUUUGCAAAGCUAGGCAGAUAACUUCCUCUGUGUCCUGCUUGUCCACAGUUUGGGCAGCAUUCUGUCAGCAGCUGAAGCAAGGGCAAGUUUUUUGUUUUUUGUUUUUUGUUUUUUGUUUUUUGUUUUUUGUUUGUUUGUUUGUUUUUGCUGAUGGCUAGCCGUGCCACAAUGGAAGGGAACUCCAUGUAGAGGUUCUUCAAUGCCCAUCUUCUUCUUUGAAGUAGUAUGGGAAUGUUGCCACGAGCAGACCCAUCUAGUGUCAUGAAAAGCCUUGUGUUAAUAAAGCAUCUUUAAAUGCCA
rnacentral:lncRNA from 1 species